rnacentral:ncRNA from 1 species
GAGAGCCGAGAUACCGUGAGAGCGGUACGUCCGGUUCGGGAAGGAGGGGUCAGGAAACGGCCCGAUGACGGGUGCCCGAAAGGGUUGAACGCACCGACCUUUUACUUUCAC